AUUGAACGCUGGCGGCAUGCUUUACACAUGCAAGUCGAACGGUAACAGGGUGCUUGCACCACUGACGAGUGGCGAACGGGUGAGUAAUGCAUCGGAAUGUACCGUGUAAUGGGGGAUAGCUCGGCGAAAGCCGGAUUAAUACCGCAUACGCCCUGAGGGGGAAAGUGGGGGACCGAAAGGCCUCACGUUAUACGAGCAGCCGAUGUCUGAUUAGCUAGUUGGUGAGGUAAAGGCUCACCAAGGCGUCGAUCAGUAGCGGGUCUGAGAGGAUGAUCCGCCACACUGGGACUGAGACACGGCCCAGACUCCUACGGGAGGCAGCAGUGGGGAAUUUUGGACAAUGGGCGCAAGCCUGAUCCAGCCAUGCCGCGUGUCUGAAGAAGGCCUUCGGGUUGUAAAGGACUUUUGUCCGGGAGCAAAUCCUAGUGGUUAAUAACCGCUGGGUCUGAGAGUACCGGAAGAAUAAGCACCGGCUAACUACGUG
rnacentral:rRNA from 1 species